ACUCCUACGGGAGGCAGCAGUGGGGAAUAUUGCACAAUGGGCGCAAGCCUGAUGCAGCGACGCCGCGUGAGGGAUGACGGCCUUCGGGUUGUAAACCUCUUUCAGUAGGGAACAAGGCCAGUGUUUAGCUGGUUGAGGGUAC
rnacentral:rRNA from 1 species